rnacentral:tRNA from 1 species
CCUCGGCCGGCGCCGCCGGGGCGGGCGCCGCGGCCGCUGGCGACGGCUGCGGCUGCACGACCGGUUCGGCCGCCGGGGCCGGCGU